rnacentral:rRNA from 1 species
GACAGAGGGUGCAAACGUUGUUCGGAUUUACUGGGUGUAAAGGGUUCGUAGGCGGUGUGGCAAGUCGGGAGUGAAAUCUCUGGGCUCAACCCAGGGGCUGCUUCCGAAACUGCCGUGCUAGAGUGUGGGAGAGGCGCGUGGAAUUGCAGGUGUAGCGGUGAAAUGCGUAGAUAUCUGCAGGAACACCCGUGGCGAAAGCGGCGCGCUGGACCACUACUGACGCUGAGGAACGAAAGCUAGGGGAGCAAACAGG